GAUGAAGAACGCAGCGAAAUGCGAUAAGUAAUGUGAAUUGCAGAAUUCAGUGAAUCAUCGAAUCUUUGAACGCACAUUGCGCCCGCCAGUAUUCUGGCGGGCAUGCCUGUUCGAGCGUCAUUUCAACCAUCAAGCCCCAGGCUUGUGUUGGGGACCUGCGGCUGCCGCAGGCCCUGAAAACCAGUGGCGGGCUCGCUGUCACACCGGGCGUAGUAGAUUUUAUCUCGCUCAGGGCGUGCUGCGGCUUCCGGCCGUUAAAAAGCCUUUUUUACCCAAGGUUGACCUCGGAUCAGGUAGGAAGACCCGCUGAACUUAAGCAUAUCAAUAAGCGGAGGA
rnacentral:misc_RNA from 1 species